UUAAGCGACUAAGCGUACACGGUGGAUGCCCUGGCAGUCAGAGGCGAUGAAGGACGUGCUAAUCUGCGAAAAGCGUCGGUAAGGUGAUAUGAACCGUUAUAGCCGGCGAUGUCCGAAUGGGGAAACCCAGUGCAAUUCGUUGCACUAUCGUUAACUGAAUACAUAGGUUAACGAGGCGAACCGGGGGAACUGAAACAUCUAAGUACCCCGAGGAAAAGAAAUCAACCGAGAUUCCCCCAGUAGCGGCGAGCGAACGGGGAGCAGCCCAGAGUCUGAAUCAGCUUGUGUGUUAGUGGAACGGUCUGGAAAGUCCGACGGUACAGGGUGAUAGUCCCGUACACCAAAAUGCACAGGCUGUGAACUCGAAGAGUAGGGCGGGACACGUGGUAUCCUGUCUGAAUAUGGGGGGACCAUCCUCCAAGGCUAAAUACUCCUGACUGACCGAUAGUGAACCAGUACCGUGAGGGAAAGGCGAAAAGAACCCCGGCGAGGGGAGUGAAAAAGAACCUGAAACCGUGUACGUACAAGCAGUGGGAGCACCUUCGGGUGUGACUGCGUACCUUUUGUAUAAUGGGUCAGCGACUUAUAUUCUGUAGCAAGGUUAACCGUAUAGGGGAGCCGCAGGGAAACCGAGUCUUAACUGGGCGUUAAGUUGCAGGGUAUAGACCCGAAACCCGGUGAUCUAGCCAUGGGCAGGUUGAAGGUUGGGUAACACUAACUGGAGGACCGAACCGACUAAUGUUGAAAAAUUAGCGGAUGACUUGUGGCUGGGGGUGAAAGGCCAAUCAAACCGGGAGAUAGCUGGUUCUCCCCGAAAGCUAUUUAGGUAGCGCCUCGUGAACUCAUCUUCGGGGGUAGAGCACUGUUUCGGCUAGGGGGUCAUCCCGACUUACCAACCCGAUGCAAACUACGAAUACCGAAGAAUGUUAUCACGGGAGACACACGGCGGGUGCUAACGUCCGUCGUGAAGAGGGAAACAACCCAGACCGCCAGCUAAGGUCCCAAAGUCAUGGUUAAGUGGGAAACGAUGUGGGAAGGCACAGACAGCCAGGAUGUUGGCUUAGAAGCAGCCAUCAUUUAAAGAAAGCGUAAUAGCUCACUGGUCGAGUCGGCCUGCGCGGAAGAUGUAACGGGGCUAAACCAUGCACCGAAGCUGCGGCAGCGACACUAUGUGUUGUUGGGUAGGGGAGCGUUCUGUAAGCCUGCGAAGGUGACCUGUGAGGGUUGCUGGAGGUAUCAGAAGUGCGAAUGCUGACAUAAGUAACGAUAAAGCGGGUGAAAAGCCCGCUCGCCGGAAGACCAAGGGUUCCUGUCCAACGUUAAUCGGGGCAGGGUGAGUCGACCCCUAAGGCGAGGCCGAAAGGCGUAGUCGAUGGGAAACAGGUUAAUAUUCCUGUACUUGGUGUUACUGCGAAGGGGGGACGGAGAAGGCUAUGUUAGCCGGGCGACGGUUGUCCCGGUUUAAGCAUGUAGGCUGGUUGUCCAGGCAAAUCCGGAUAAUCAAGGCUGAGGUGUGAUGACGAGGCACUACGGUGCUGAAGUAACAAAUGCCCUGCUUCCAGGAAAAGCCUCUAAGCAUCAGGUAACAUCAAAUCGUACCCCAAACCGACACAGGUGGUCAGGUAGAGAAUACCAAGGCGCUUGAGAGAACUCGGGUGAAGGAACUAGGCAAAAUGGUGCCGUAACUUCGGGAGAAGGCACGCUGGUGUGUAGGUGAAGUCCCUGCGGAUGGAGCUGAGACCAGUCGAAGAUACCAGCUGGCUGCAACUGUUUAUUAAAAACACAGCACUGUGCAAACACGAAAGUGGACGUAUACGGUGUGACGCCUGCCCGGUGCCGGAAGGUUAAUUGAUGGGGUUAUCCGUAAGGAGAAGCUCUUGAUCGAAGCCCCGGUAAACGGCGGCCGUAACUAUAACGGUCCUAAGGUAGCGAAAUUCCUUGUCGGGUAAGUUCCGACCUGCACGAAUGGCGUAAUGAUGGCCAGGCUGUCUCCACCCGAGACUCAGUGAAAUUGAACUCGCUGUGAAGAUGCAGUGUACCCGCGGCAAGACGGAAAGACCCCGUGAACCUUUACUAUAGCUUGACACUGAACAUUGAGCCUUGAUGUGUAGGAUAGGUGGGAGGCUUUGAAGCGUGGACGCCAGUCUGCGUGGAGCCAACCUUGAAAUACCACCCUUUAAUGUUUGAUGUUCUAACGUUGGCCCCUGACCGGGGUUGCGGACAGUGUCUGGUGGGUAGUUUGACUGGGGCGGUCUCCUCCCAAAGCGUAACGGAGGAGCACGAAGGUUAGCUAAUCCUGGUCGGACAUCAGGAGGUUAGUGCAAUGGCAUAAGCUAGCUUGACUGCGAGCGUGACGGCGCGAGCAGGUGCGAAAGCAGGUCAUAGUGAUCCGGUGGUUCUGAAUGGAAGGGCCAUCGCUCAACGGAUAAAAGGUACUCCGGGGAUAACAGGCUGAUACCGCCCAAGAGUUCAUAUCGACGGCGGUGUUUGGCACCUCGAUGUCGGCUCAUCACAUCCUGGGGCUGAAGUAGGUCCCAAGGGUAUGGCUGUUCGCCAUUUAAAGUGGUACGCGAGCUGGGUUUAGAACGUCGUGAGACAGUUCGGUCCCUAUCUGCCGUGGGCGCUGGAGAAUUGAGGGGGGCUGCUCCUAGUACGAGAGGACCGGAGUGGACGCAUCACUGGUGUUCGGGUUGUCAUGCCAAUGGCACUGCCCGGUAGCUAAAUGCGGAAGAGAUAAGUGCUGAAAGCAUCUAAGCACGAAACUUGCCCCGAGAUGAGUUCUCCCUGAGACUUUAAGUCUCCUGAAGGAACGUUGAAGACGACGACGUUGAUAGGCCGGGUGUGUAAGCGCAGCGAUGCGUUGAGCUAACCGGUACUAAUGAACCGUGAGGCUUAACCUU
rnacentral:rRNA from 1 species